UCGAAAAUCUGUCAAUAGUUUAGUGUCAAUUUUUUAAAAGUAAUACUGACGUGUUACACCAAAUUAAAUUAAAAUAUACAAGAAACAUAUAAUAUAAAAGCAUCAUGAAAGUGGAAGAGGCUUUUUUUUGAGAAACUAUAUCUUAAAUGACGGAAAACACUAUAUCCUUACAAUGUUUUUGGACAACGACGAACAUAUAGCAAAAUAGUAUUCUUUUAAUUAAUGAAGACCUAUUAAGUGUGAAAACCUGAAAACUCUGAUAAGAGUUUAUCUUGUAAAGAGCUGUGAACCAACACAAUCACCGUAAUGAUUAAUGAUAUCUAUAUGAAGCUCAUAGUCAGUAGAAAUUUCGGACAAACUAAAUUCAAGCCUCAACAUUCUCCAACUUAUUAUUGAAAUAAAUACACACAUAUUAUUAUUUAUAUUUUAAUGGCUGGAAGAUGAAGUUUUUGAAUAGUUUCCAUGGAAUCUCUCAAAGUUUGAAACAGUAGAAGACACAACUUUUUAGCAAAAGGGAAAAAGAUGCAUCAUCAAAUUUCCUACAAAGUUGAUGGCCUGAUGCGUAAGCAAAUUUUAUGUGAGGUUAUUGAAUGAGGAGUCUGAACUGCUGCAUUUUUCCCGGUCAAUUUAAGAGUUCAAAAGGUUUGGAUUACUUCAAACCAUUGUUAAAGAUUUCAAGAGACUUCUAAAUAUUUAAUUUUUUUGAAGAUUCCUAAUUUGGAACCUGAAAUUUUGGAAAAGAUUUAUAUUUUGAAUUUAAAUAGGGAUUAAAAAAAGUAAAAUCCUUUAUUCCACACAAGAAUUAAAAUUAUUUUCCAAAAUUGCCCAUCCAUGUCCACAAUUUUCUGUUCCAAGUUGUACCCUGUCUCAAGUCAAAGUUAUAUUUAUUUACAAUAUUUUCUGUUAUAAUUCAGAAAUAUGUUAACUCCUUUUUUCUAAUAUUUGGAAAUGGGUUUCAAGUUCUGAUUUGGAACAAGGGAUUUUCAAAAUCUGAUGAAUUUUGACUUGGAUAUGGGAUUAUUUUUGUAAAUUCCCUUUUUAUGAAUCAAAAGAUUUUCCUUUGCAUGUCAAAAAUUACAUGCUUCAAGGCAUAAUUAUAAUUAAUUAUGAAAUUCUCAGUUCCAAAGUAAAAAUAAUAAUAAAUAUUAUUCUGACAUUCUUCGUGAAAUUUACUGUUUUAAAGUGAACCUAAAAUGAAAAUAAUCAUUGUUUACAAAAUUUCCAGUUCAAAAGUCAAAAUUAUAAUUCCAUACCUCAAUUGUAAAAAUUAUAUUUAUUUACCGAAAUUUCCUGUAUCUAUCUCAAAAUUAUCACUCUUCGAGAAGAUCCCAUGCUCCCAACUAAAAAUUACAUUUUUGUAUUGAAAUUCUUUGUCGGAACUUAGAAUUAUAAUUCUUUUUUAAAAUUCCCUGUUCUAAGUCGGGAUAAUUGUAAUUCUUUACAUGUAUUUUUUAAAUAUUUCUUUUCCGUAUUCUCGGUCUCGAAGUCGAAAUUAUCUUUUUUUUUCUUUUUGGCAAACUCACUAUCCUAAGUUAGAAAAAGGAUUUUUCACCAAUUCCCUGUAUCUACUCAGAAUUAUAGUAAUCAAAUAUAUGAAACUACUUUUAAUUUGCAUGUUAGUUUUUAGAGAGAAAACCCACAGUCACUGAAUCAAAUUCCUUGUCAUUUCACGGGUUUUCCUCGGUGAUUUGAACAGAUUUGACAAAUUAAUUGAUAUGAAAACUCUGCGGAUAUAAGGCAGGCAUAAUUAUUUAUUUGAUGUAUUUAGUUCAUUUUAUUUUUCUAUUAUCGUUAAGAUCCGGUUUGUAUAACUUUUUUCUAUUU